UACGUAGGGUGCGAGCGUUGCCCGGAUUUAUUGGGCGUAAAGGGCGCGUAGGCGGCUCGGCACGUCCGUUGUGAAAUCGCCCGGCUCAACUGGGCGGGGUCAGCGGAUACGGUCGAGCUUGAGCAAGCUAGGGGGCAAUGGAAUUCCCGGUGUAGUGGUGGAAUGCGUAGAUAUCGGGAGGAACACCAGUGGCGAAGGCGGUUGCCUGGAGCUUUGCUGACGCUGAGGCGCGAAAGCGUGGGGAGCGAACAGG
rnacentral:rRNA from 1 species